rnacentral:rRNA from 1 species
UACGAAGGGGGCUAGCGUUGUUCGGAAUUACUGGGCGUAAAGGGCGCGCAGGCGGCCCUCCAAGUCAGGCGUGAAAGCCCCGGGCUCAACCCGGGAACAGCGCUUGAGACUGGGGGGCUUGAGUUCGGGAGAGGAGAGUGGAAUUCCCAGUGUAGAGGUGAAAUGCGUAGAUAUUGGGAAGAACACCGGUGGCGAAGGCGGCGCUCUGGACCGACACUGACGCUGAGGCGCGAAAGCCAGGGGAGCAAACGGG